rnacentral:rRNA from 1 species
CCGGCGACCGGCGCACGGGUGAGUAACACGUAUGCAACCUGGCCGUGACAGAUGGAUAACCGGGAGAAAUCCCGCCUAAUACAACAUAAUGCCGGGAGGGACAUCCCCUGCCGGCCAAAGGGGGCGACCCCGGUCACGGAUGGGCAUGCGGCGCAUUAGGUAGUUGGUGGGGCAACGGCCCACCAAGCCGACGAUGCGUAGGGGUUCUGAGAGGAAGGUCCCCCACAUUGGAACUGAGACACGGUCCAAACUCCUACGGGAGGCAGCAG